rnacentral:rRNA from 2 species
CGGGGAGGGUCAUUGGAAACUGGGGAACUUGAGUGCCGAAAAGAAAAGCGGAAUUCCCCGUGUAGCGGUGAAAUGCGUAAAGAUGUGGAGGAACACCAGUGGCGAAGGCGGCUUUUUGGUCUGUAACUGACGCUGAGGCGCGAAAGCGUGGGGAGCAAACAGGAUUAGAUACCCUGGUAGUCCACGCCGUAAACGAUGAGUGCUAAGUGUUAGAGGGUCUCCGCCCUUUAGUGCUGCAGCUAACGUAUUAAGCACUCCGCCUGGGGAGUACGGUCGCAAGACUGAAACUCAAAGGAAUUGACGGGGGCCCGCACAAGCGGUGGAACAUGUGUUUUAAUUCGAAGCAACGCGAAGAACCUUACCAGGUCUUGACAUCCUGUGACAACUCUAGAGAUAGAGCGUCCCCCUUCAGGGGACAGAGUGA